CUUAAUUUUAAUUUUACAUAUAUGACUAAGCUUCUAGCUUUUAAAAAAUGUAUAUUUGAAUAUGGUAGGUGUUGCCGUUGUGUUCAAAUAUUUUUUUUUGUGUUUGAAGUCAAUUAAUAAGAAAAUUGCAUCUAUCGCUUGAACUAUGGAAGAUUGUCCCCCACUCCUAUAUAUUUUUUUUCCUUGAAUUUCCUAGACAAUCUUUUGGCAUCAAUUAAUUUAUGAAAUCUAAGAAAAAUUUUUGAAAAAAAUUUGUUUUUGUUCACAAAAAUCUUCAAUUAAAUUUAAAAAAUCAAAACGGCAACACCGGCAAUUUUUAAUCUAUAGACUUUAAAGUAUUUUUAAUUACCGACGUUUGAAAAAAAAGAUCAUCAAAAUCUAAGCUGUUCUGCCGGGUUCCCUAAUAUUGCCAAUUUUUGAGCUUUAGUUACUCCACUACAUAGUGUUAGAGUAAAUUACUUUAAUAUGUGUAACAAAACAUUACGCAUUUUCCAAAAUUAUAUUCAAUGUAUGUAAGUUUUGACUUUUGGGUCAUUUAAAAAAUUCAUAUUGAUCCAGCUAUAGCAAAAUUCUUCGACGUUUAAACGCAUUAAUUUUGGAAAAUGAAAAUAUUGAAAAAUUAUAUAGGUACGAUACGAUUAAGAAGACAAUUUAGAGACAAAUCAAAUCCUUUGUCUUUGAUAAUCAUUUUGAUAAUAAUUCUCACAGAUUUUUUCAAAACUUUCGCCUAUCCAAAGAAGCGUUCGUUUUAGUAUUAGAAACUAUUAAUUUAAACAACGGCCGCCGUUCAACAUACUAUAUCUUGUAUUAAAAAACGAAUAGUUUUUCGAUACACAUAUUAAAAUAAUUUACUCUAACAUUAUGGUAAUUUGUAGAAAUUAAUCAUUAAUAUUUUUUUUUUGUUAGCGGAGUUUGCAAAUUAAUCGGUGAUUGGAAUAAAUUAAUAAACACGUAAAAAAAUUAAAUAUUGCAUCCAAAAACGAAUAAAUUCUCCAAAAACGAGACCUAUUUAGCUAUCGUUUAUUUCGAUUAUUGAGAAAAUAAAAAAAAAAACAAUUUCAAAUUCUGGAUUCGAACGUCGGACACCCGAGUAAGAGGCAACUACUAAAUCACCUAGACUAUUACGACUUCUAAGGAUACGGAAACUUUUAUUUAUAUAAACUAUUUAGGAAAUAUUGAAUCAGAAUUGACUUAAAAUAGCUUUAAAGAUUCUCAAACUGUAAAACGAUUAUCAUCGAUUCGAUUAUCGUUUUCAAAAUCACGGAAUCACCUGUUUAAUGAAUCUGAUCCGAAUAGAAAAGAUCCAAAAAGUACAGGUUUGUAUUUUCCAUGAAAGAAAACUUUGCCCCACACUGUUCUACAAUCUGUCAUUUUGUGUUUCAUGGAGUUUUCCAGCUUUGUAUUAUAUAUUUAUAUGUUGGUACAAAGUUUUCUAGGAAUUUAGUUCAAGUUUUUCUGCUCCUAUUUUUUUGGUGCAUCAGCUUUGUGAAACUGUCAAAUGCCAAAAUAUCAUUUGCCAAUUUACUGUUUUUUUUUUCGAUCAAACAAAUUUUUUCAAUUCAAUCCUUAAAAAAAUACAUUAAAAAAAUUUUUUAAAUGGAAAAUUACCAAAUUGAAAUUUAAUCUGCGAAUGGCCAUACAUUGACCGUACAAUGUUCACAUAAAACAGGAGGUGUUUUAGAAAACAGUGAGUAAUUCUUUUGUCUUUGAUACAUCUUUGAUGUUUUAAAUUUAUAAUUUACAGAUGAAGACCUUUGCACUCAGCUAUUUAACCAAAAAUUAGCGGAAUCAGAAAAUUUAGAACAGGAUUUUGUUUUAAAUUCUCCGCUCCAAAAAGGAAAAAUUAAAGUUAUUUGGCUGGAAAAGGACUGUAAACUCCUUUAUAAAGAGGCCCUCCCUCAGGUAGGGAAACGCUUUGAACUAAGCUCCAAGCGGAAAUUGUGGGCUUACCUCAAGAAGAUGGAAGAAUACGGUUGUGUAUUCUCUCCACUUCAAAUUGAGAGAAAGUAGAAAAGCUUAGAGCGCAGUUUCAAGAAAAAAAAACGAUACACAACAAAAAACAAAAAAAUGGAAGGAAUCGGAUAACUAUGAAGAUGACCUUAUGGAUAUAAUGGUGGAGAGAGCUGCAAUUGUGCCUACCUAUAGAUUAGGCAGCGCAUCUAGUAGAGGCAGAAGUAACGACCAAAUCAUCCAAGAAACUGGAAUUGGAAACCAGAAUGUUAAUGUAAUGCCUUCAGCACCGGAAGUCCUUCAUAACAGACGAUGGCAAUGUGUGCGCAGAAUCUUUUCCAGUAGAGACUUCCGUUCAAGAGCCCCGACGACCGACCGCGACGUCCUGUUAGGACAAAUAAUGGUGGCUAAAGAGAUGCAUGAAUGGAUGGAACUCCGUUUAAAAGAAAAUAAGAUAAAAGAAAUGAAAAACAAUAAAGAAAAUAACGAGAAAAAUGUUUAUCGCAAUGGAAAAUUAAAAGUUCAGCGCGAAGGGACAUUGAAAAUAAAAACGCAUAGCUAAUGAACUUUUUGAAAAAUAUUUGCAACAAAGAUGUACAAAAAACCUGUAAAAGAAUUUUUGUAUCUUUGUGACAAAUAUUUUCCAAAAGAGUCUUUGCUAUUCCUUUUCAGUAGAACUAAGUUUACCUUUCUGCUUCUAUGUAUCUGUUUUAUGUAUCUGCAUAUGUCAAUAUGUACAGAUCACAGUGGUCCGUUCUUUUAUUGAAUAAUGUUAACUAUUGUUGUUAUGUCAAAAAAAUCGUUGUAUUUGUUUUUGUUAGAUUUUGUUACAAAAUGUCAACUUUGAUUUAGGAACGACUAAAUGUUACAUUUUGUUGAUCUGUCAAAAGAAAAUUUUUUGAGAUUAAUUUUAUGAAUGAAUAAACAAGAAAGAAUUAAUUUGGUACUGAAAUAAUUCUUUUUAAUUGAAUUCUAAGCAAAUUGACACAAAAAUAUGCAUUCAAUAAUUUCAAAUAUGGAAACAAACAAGAAAUUCUCUUCUCACAUCAUCCCCUCUCUUCCCAAUUUAGUUGUGUUUGACAGAUUAACAUUGAAACUCAAGUCCAGGAGCUGAGUUGGAAAAAGUAACAAAAUGUAACUAUUUGACACUUCAACAUUGGAUUUAGGAACGAUGUUGUGACGUCACGAUGUUACACUUUGUAACUAUUUUCUCAUUUAGGAACGAUGAAAGUUAACUAUUGUUAACAAUAGUUAACAUCGUCGAAUAAAAGAACGCACCACA